rnacentral:rRNA from 1 species
AUUGAACGCUGGCGGCAUGCCUUACACAUGCAAGUCGAACGGCAGCACGGGGCAACCUGGUGGCGAGUGGCGAACGGGUGAGUAAUGCAUCGGAACGUACCUUUCAGUGGGGGAUAACGUAGCGAAAGUUACGCUAAUACCGCAUAUUCUGUGAGCAGGAUAGCAGGGGAUCGCAAGACCUUGCGCUGAUUGAGCGGCCGAUGUCAGAUUAGCUAGUUGGUGAGGUAAAGGCUCACCAAGGCGACGAUCUGUAGCGGGUCUGAGAGGAUGAUCCGCCACACUGGAACUGAGACACGGUCCAGACUCCUACGGGAGGCAGCAGUGGGGGAUUUUGGACAAUGGGGGCAACCCUGAUCCAGCCAUGCCGCGUGAGUGAAGAAGGCCUUCGGGUUGUAAAGCUCUUUCGGCCGGGAAGAAAUCGCACGGGCUAAUACCCUGUGUGGAUGACGGUACCGGAAUAAGAAGCACCGGCUAACUACGUGCCAGCCGCCGCGGUAA